rnacentral:rRNA from 1 species
GACGAACGCUGGCGGCGUGCUUAACACAUGCAAGUCGAACGGAAAGGCCCUGCUUUUGUGGGGUGCGCGAGUGGCGAGCGGGUGAGUAACACGUGAGUAACCUGCCCUUGACUUUGGGAUAACUUCAGGAAACUGGGGCUAAUACCGGAUAGGAGCUCCUGCUACAUGGUGGGGGUUGGAAAGAUUCGGCGGUUGGGGAUGGACUCGCGGCGUAUCAGCUUGUUGGUGGGGUAGUGGCUUACCAAGGCUCUGACGGGUAGCCGGCCUGAGAGGGUGACCGGCCACAUUGGGACUGAGAUACGGCCCAGACUCCUACGGGAGGCAGCAGUGGAGAAUAGUGCACAAUGGGCGGAAGCCUGAUGCAGCAACGCCGCGUGCGAGAUGACGGCCUGCGGGUUGUAAACCGCGUUCGCCUGUGACGAAGCGUGAGUGACGGUAACGGGUAAAGAAGCACCGGCUAACUACGUG